GAUGAACGCUAGCGGCAGGCUUAAUACAUGCAAGUCGAGGGGCAGCACGAAUAGCAAUAUUUGGUGGCGACCGGCGCACGGGUGCGUAACACGUAUACAAUCUACCUAAAACAGGGGGAUAGCCUUUCGAAAGAGAGAUUAAUACCCCGUAAUAAAUUGGACGGCAUCGUUUGAUUUUGAAAGCUCCGGCGGUUUUAGAUGAGUAUGCGUCUGAUUAGCUAGUUGGUAGUGUAAUGGACUACCAAGGCUACGAUCAGUAGGGGAUCUGAGAGGACUAACCCCCACACUGGUACUGAGACACGGACCAGACUCCUACGGGAGGCAGCAGUAAGGAAUAUUGGUCAAUGGAGGCAACUCUGAACCAGCCAUGCCGCGUGCAGGAAGACGGCCCUAUGGGUUGUAAACUGCUUUUGUACCAGAGAAAACCCCAGUACGUGUACUGGGUUGAUAGUAUGGUAAGAAUAAGCAUCGGCUAACUUCGUGC
rnacentral:rRNA from 1 species